rnacentral:rRNA from 1 species
GAUGAACGCUGGCGGCGUGCUUAACACAUGCAAGUCGAACGAUGAAGCUCAGCUUGCUGGGUGGAUUAGUGGCGAACGGGUGAGUAACACGUGAGUAACCUGCCCUUAACUCUGGGAUAAGCCUGGGAAACUGGGUCUAAUACCGGAUAGGAGCGUCCACCGCAUGGUGGGUGUUGGAAAGAUUUAUCGGUUUUGGAUGGACUCGCGGCCUAUCAGCUUGUUGGUGAGGUAAUGGCUCACCAAGGCGACGACGGGUAGCCGGCCUGAGAGGGUGACCGGCCACACUGGGACUGAGACACGGCCCAGACUCCUACGGGAGGCAGCAGUGGGGAAUAUUGCACAAUGGGCGCAAGCCUGAUGCAGCGACGCCGCGUGCGGGAUGACGGCCUUCGGGUUGUAAACCUCUUUCAGUAGGGAAGAAGCGAAAGUGACGGUACCUGCAGAAGAAGCACCGGCUAACUACGUG